rnacentral:tRNA from 1 species
GCAGUCGUGGCUGAGUGGUUAAGGCGAUGGACUAGAAAUCCGUUGGGCUCUCUCCCCGCACAGGUUCGAAUCCUGGCGACUGCG